rnacentral:rRNA from 1 species
UACGAAGGGGGCUAGCGUUGCUCGGAAUUACUGGGCGUAAAGGGUGCGUAGGCGGCGCGGUAAGUCGGAUGUGAAAUCUCGGAGCUUAACUCCGAAACUGCAUUCGAUACUGCCGUGCUUGAGGACUGGAGAGGAGACUGGAAUUUACGGUGUAGCGGUGAAAUGCGUAGAUAUCGUAAGGAAGACCAGUGGCGAAGGCGGGUCUCUGGACAGUUCCUGACGCUGAGGCACGAAGGCCAGGGGAGCAAACGGG